rnacentral:rRNA from 1 species
CAUGCAAGUCGAGCGGUAACAGAAAGUAGCUUGCUACUCUGCUGACGAGCGGCGGACGGGUGAGUAAUGCUUGGGAACAUGCCUUGAGGUGGGGGACAACAGUUGGAAACGACUGCUAAUACCGCAUAAUGUCUACGGACCAAAGGGGGCUUCGGCUCUCGCCUUUAGAUUGGCCCAAGUGGGAUUAGCUAGUUGGUGAGGUAAUGGCUCACCAAGGCAACGAUCCCUAGCUGGUUUGAGAGGAUGAUCAGCCACACUGGAACUGAGACACGGUCCAGACUCCUACGGGAGGCAGCAGUGGGGAAUAUUGCACAAUGGGCGCAAGCCUGAUGCAGCCAUGCCGCGUGUGUGAAGAAGGCCUUCGGGUUGUAAAGCACUUUCAGUCAGGAGGAAAGAUUAGUAGUUAAUACCUGCUAAUUGUGACGUUACUGACAGAAGAAGCACCGGCUAACUCCGUGCCAGCAGCCGCGGUAAUACGGAGGGUGCGAGCGUUAAUCGGAAUUACUGGGCGUAAAGCGUACGCAGGGCGGUUUGUUAAGCGAGAUGUGAAAGCCCCGGGCUCAACCUGGGAACUGCAUUUUCGAACUG